AUGGUGCAUGUACGACCAAAUCUUCACAAAUUGAUCUCAAUACGGAAGUUGAAGUACAUGACAUCGAUUCUGAUGAAAUCAAUGCUUCCCCUGGUGUCUUCACCAAGAAGUCAACUACCAUUGAGCCAGAAAAAAAAGAAGUCCCCUGGAAGUGGAUCCAAGGAAACUGCAAGAGGACAAAAACGGACAGCCGAUGAUGCCAUAAUAGCAAUUGAUCGCCUUGCAGAUGCAUCACUUAGCAUUGCUGAAGCAAAGAAAACAAUAGCACAACAAACUGAAGCUUACUCGGUUAAAUCUUGUAUGGCAAUACUAAAUAGUAUGAGUAAUCUAGAUCCUAAUGAGAAACUAAAAGCGGUAAAGUCAUUUACAGAUGGUGAUAAACGGGCCAUUUUCAUUGAGAUGGAUGAAGAGACGCGGAAGCUCUGGUUUGGUAUUGUUCAUUGUUAUCCGUCUCAAAAUGUAAUGGAGGCAAAAGUCAGGCUUGAUAAGAAAACUCCUUAUAGAAACAGACAUGGUUAUCCGUCUCAAAAUGUAAUGGCAGUAGUGUCAUUUAACAUGACAUUCUCUUAUGUCGCUGCUGGAUGGGAGGGUUCUGCAUCGGAUCAAGCUGUUCUAAGAUGGGCUGUGACUAGUGGGGGUUUAGUUGUUCCUGAAGGUAAAUUUUACCUUGUUGAUUCAGGUUACGCAAAUACUCCAAGAUUUAUUGCCCCGUAUCGUGGAGAUCGCUAUCAUAUUGCUUCUUUUCGUGGAAGUAAUCGGCGAUAUACUAGUGAGAAGGACUUGUUCAACCAUCUACAUGCAUAG
rnacentral:rRNA from 1 species